rnacentral:rRNA from 1 species
GCAUCGAUGAAGAACGCAGCGAAAUGCGAUAAGUAAUGUGAAUUGCAGAAUUCAGUGAAUCAUCGAAUCUUUGAACGCACAUUGCGCCCAUUAGUAUUCUAGUGGGCAUGCCUGUUCGAGCGUCAUUUCAACCCCUAAGCACAGCUUAUUGUUGGGCGUCUACGUCUGUAGUGCCUCAAAGACAUUGGCGGAGCGGCAGCAGUCCUCUGAGCGUAGUAAUUCUUUAUCUCGCUUCUGUUAGGCGCUGCCCCCCCGGCCGUAAAACCCCCAAUUUUUUCUGGUUGACCUCGGAUCAGGUAGGAAUACCCGCUGAACUUAAGCAUAUCAAUAAGCGGAGGA